UGAAAACAGCACUUUUUAUACAUUUCUAGUUUUGAAUUUCCCGCCUCCUGCCCAUCGGCCAGCUCUGCGCUGAUUGUCUCUGAUGUCAGAGUGGACGGGGAGCCACUAGGAGCCUCCUCCAAUGAGAGCAUGAGCCUCAUCUGUGACCUCACUCCCUCGCUGGCCAAUAGGGGAGAUGGAGGUGUGGCAACAGGAGAGACAAAGAGUACACAUGUGGAAAUGACAAGAUUGUAGGUGACUCAACAAUGAUCUUUUGUCCAAACAGCCCAGUGACCGCCUGUGGCAUUCCAACUGGACCUGGCUUAUGGUUUCAUUGACUGAUAUGUCCAGAUUCAUGAAUGGGAGUCUGGCCCCUGCUGGUUUGUCCAUAGGAUCGGUGAUGGGAUUAUGUGUGACUCAAAGUCCGAGGAAAAGUGCUUGUCCUGCUUGAUGGCGAGGUCUGCAUUAAUGGUUUGUUAGUGCCAUUUCACCCGGUUGUGCACCUGGCCAGGAUGUAUGCCAGCAGUUUUCAGAUCAUUGUGCAACGUGUCCAGCCAGCGUUGAUUUGGUUGUCCAUUUGGACUCUUGCCAGGCACUCCUAAAUCAAGAGCAAUCUUACGAAUGGACUCGUCUUCACCAUGGAGAGUAUGACUAUACCAUCUGAGGCAUGAUUCUCAUAGUUUGUUCACAAUUGGAACAAUACCAAAGCCUUGCUGGUCA